UGUCAAUAGAUACAUUUUAUACAAUUUAUAAACUUUGUGAUUAACUAGAACCCGUAAUAUAUCCAUACGCACUACCUAAACAUUUUUGCUUAGCACUUAAUAUUCUGAAAAUUAUUAUGCCCGACAAUUGAAAGUUAUAUCAAUGAAAAUGCUAUGUGUUUCAAAGCGACAACCGAGUGUCAAUCGAGCACAUGUUCAAACCGUUUUAUGUUACAUACAUAUUUUCAUGUCAAAUAUGCACAAUCUUUAAGUGGUUUUGGAUAAUUUACCCUUGCAUUUUAUUCAGCAAUAACCUAGGUCGAUAAUUAACCAGAUAGAUGUGUUUAUCCCUUGCAUAUAGAGCAGGUUUAAUCUCUCAGCAUAGUUCCCUCCCCAAAUAUCACAUCUGUUUAUCAGCUCAUUUAAAAUAUGCUGUUCAGUCUGUUAGAUUAUGUUACAUUUCAAAGAUAUUGACCACAACAAGCACAAUAUAAAGGCAUUAUUUAUGCCAAUGCGAUUCAGUAAAUAUGUUAUACUAAAUGCUAGCUGUUUCUCUUCAAAUUCCAGUGCUCGCUGGUAAUAAUCCUUAGCCUGGUCCAGGUCACCUUUAUCAUACCAGUAGUAUAGAGAAUAGGGGUUCUGGGACGGGCGGAGCGGGCGGAGCGCAUUGCUCCGCCCAUGACGUCAUCAUUUCUUAAGUAUUUUAAUUUAUUCAGAUUCAUGUUAAUUUAUUUAGACUUUCUUCAUAUUUUUGUAUUGCUGCCAUUUGUUUAUCUACAGUUUUGGCUUAUUUCAGGCUCUUCUGCUGUCGCUUAUUCACCUAUAAUUUUUAGUUUUAUAUUUCUGGCUGCUCCACAUAUAUUCCUUCUAACCAACCACAGAGUAAAGAUACAUCAGAGAGGAAACAGACACCUCGAUAACCUGAAUUUUUGUGUCACGCCGUCCACGCAGGUUCCACGCGCCACGCAAAAUCUUCCAGCCAGUGCCGUCGCCGAAAUUUCAUAGCAAAAGAUAGGGAAAACGCCCUUCGAAAGGUGAAAAUCGCUUUUUUUUUUAAAAUGAGAUACCCAUGGAAGUUUUGUUCAAUAAAUUAUUGUAGAAUAACGGUAAGCGAUCACUUUUAUUGAUUUCUUUUUAUUCAAAGUGUUAACAUUACAUUUUAUUUUGCAAAAGUUUGUUUAUUUCCCUAUCUAUUCCUUAUUAAAAUCGUGAAAAGCACUGGCUGAAGGUUUGAGAUGCCCAUAUAUAAAAAACAAAGCAGCAAAUGAUAUAAAUGCCUCAAAAUAUAUCUCUUGCAUAAAAAAAACAUGUUUACUUCUAUAAUACGUAUAGUUUUUUCCUCUGCAUGGUCAAAAUUUAAUAAAAUAGCGAAUUAAUAUAAUUU